rnacentral:rRNA from 1 species
CCUACGGGAGGCAGCAGUGGGGAAUAUUGCACAAUGGGGGAAACCCUGAUGCAGCGACGCCGCGUGGAGGAAGAAGGUCUUCGGAUUGUAAACUCCUGUUGUUGGGGAAGAUAAUGACGGUACCCAACAAGGAAGUGACGGCUAACUACGUGCCAGCAGCCGCGGUAAAACGUAGGUCACAAGCGUUGUCCGGAAUUACUGGGUGUAAAGGGAGCGCAGGCGGGAAGACAAGUUGGAAGUGAAAUCUAUGGGCUCAACCCAUAAACUGCUUUCAAAACUGUUUUUCUUGAGUAGUGCAGAGGUAGGCGGAAUUCCCGGUGUAGCGGUGGAAUGCGUAGAUAUCGGGAGGAACACCAGUGGCGAAGGCGGCCUACUGGGCACCAACUGACGCUGAGGCUCGAAAGUGUGGGUAGCAAACAGGAUUAGAUACCCCUAGUAGUC